rnacentral:rRNA from 1 species
UACGUAGGGCGCAAGCGUUAUCCGGAAUUAUUGGGCGUAAAGAGCUCGUAGGCGGUUUGUCGCGUCUGCCGUGAAAGUCCGGGGCUCAACUCCGGAUCUGCGGUGGGUACGGGCAGACUAGAGUGAUGUAGGGGAGACUGGAAUUCCUGGUGUAGCGGUGAAAUGCGCAGAUAUCAGGAAGAACACCCGUGGCUAAGGCGGCUCUCUAGUACGGUACUGACGCUGAGACGCGAAAGCGUGGGGAGCGAACAGGGAU